rnacentral:rRNA from 1 species
UACGAAGGGGGCUAGCGUUGUUCGGAUUUACUGGGCGUAAAGCGCACGUAGGCGGAUUGUUAAGUCGGGGGUGAAAUCCUGGAGCUCAACUCCAGAACUGCCUUCGAUACUGGCGAUCUCGAGUUCGGGAGAGGUGAGUGGAACUGCGAGUGUAGAGGUGAAAUUCGUAGAUAUUCGCAAGAACACCAGUGGCGAAGGCGGCUCACUGGCCCGAUACUGACCGCUGAGGUGCGAAAGCGUGGGGAGCAAACAGG